rnacentral:lncRNA from 1 species
UAAGACCUUGACUUGCAGGGCACAGAGAUAGCCUGAUGUCCCUUUUUCUGAACCUCAGGACCCAAAACAGAUAUGUGAAUAGCAUUGCAUUGUAUUCUUUUGUGACCCGCCUUUUUUUUUUAAACAAGAGAAGGAAUUGUUUGGGCCGGAGCGGAAAGAGAAGGAAAUACAUUUAAACUCUUGUCCAGUGUAGCAAGCCUUUCUUGUUUGCAGUGAACCCUAACUCCUUCCACAUUUCCAGUGCAACUCAUCAACUCAUAUUUGUCUCAAGUCACAUAAUACAAAUACUUCUCUCUCUCUCUCUCAUUCUCACCAGCCUCUGAGAAAACAUUUGGAUGAAUGUUAUUAAUCCCCCUGGUGCCCAAGAUGUCUAGGAGAUGUCUACAAAACAGCAUGCAAAUAGCCCUUGGAAUGGAUAGAUUGAGGCAUUUUUGGUCCAAAUAACAACGGAACCCUGUCACGCACCUAAAUAAACAGGCAGCCAUGCCAAGGAACACAUUCAUUUAUGGGGGGUGGGGGUGAAGGGAAGGCGAGUGUUAGUGGUAGAGGCUGGAGGCAUGCUCCACCAGGAUUUGCAGAAUGAAUUCUUUUUUGGCUCUAAGGUUUGCUGGGUUCACACAUCAGACACGACACAUUUUUUUGUAUACCCAACAAAAAGUAAUAGCAGCAUGAUCACAUAUCAGAUUGUUCCAGACUGUGAGGAAGAGGAACAGAAGGGAAACAUGGAUGGGAAUCCAUGUUGUGAUGAUCAUUUCCAGUUCAUGCAGAAGGCACGAUGCUUCUAUGUUUCUCUUGUACAGGAAAUCCACAAGAUGCAACUGUGGUUACAAGAGGGAACAACAGAUACUGUGGCAGGAGCUUGCAAAAACUCUUCUUCCUUAUACUUCCAGCUUGGCUUGUCCAAACAAACGAAGAAACAAUCCAUGAAAUGAGCAACUUGAUGAACCACUAAGAUCCCAUGCUGUUGGACUGUAACUUCCCAGUAUAUCUCAGAAUGGUGUUUCUCCACUUGAAAUCUUCGGCAUGAAAAGAAGCAGAAAAUGGACACCCUUUGGCACUAAUACCAUGAAUGUUAUUCAUAUUAAUAUAUUGCCAUAGGAAGUACUUUAAGCACGCCUCCAGAGAGACAUCUCAUACUGUGACCAACUGGAAGACAUUACACUUUGUGUUUCUCCUUAAUAAAUU